UACGGAGGGUGCGAGCGUUGUCCGGAAUCACUGGGCGUAAAGGGCGCGUAGGCGGCGCGAGCAGUCGAUCGUGAAAGUCCGGAGCUCAACUCCGGAUCGGCGGUCGAUACUCUCGUGCUUGAGCACUGUAGAGGCAGAUGGAAUUCCGGGUGUAGCGGUGGAAUGCGUAGAGAUCCGGAAGAACACCGGUGGCGAAGGCGGUCUGCUGGGCAGUUGCUGACGCUGAGGCGCGACAGCGUGGGGAGGCAAACAGG
rnacentral:rRNA from 1 species